GACUGUAUGGCGCUACAGAGGGUAGUACGUACAGCCCAGUACAUCACUGGGGCCAAGCUUCCUGCCAUCCAGGACCUAUAUACUAGGCGGUGUCAGAGGAAGGCCCAAAAAAUUGUCAAAGACUCCAGUCACUCAUGUCAUAGACUGUUCUCUCUACUACUGCAUGGCAAAUGGUACCGGAGCACCAAGUCUAUGUCCAAAAGGCUCCUUAAGGGCUUGUAAGUAAGCAUUUCACAGUAAGGUCUACACCUGUUGUAUUCGAUACAGGUACUUUCUCUCAGAUACAGGACAAAGGGUAGAGAUGAGUGAGAGGAGAGAGAAGAGGACAGAGGGUAGAGAUGAGUGAGAGGAGAGAGGGUAGAGAUGAGUGAGAGGAGAGAGAAGAGGAGAGAGGGUAGAGAUGAGUGAGAGGAGAGAGGGUAGAGAUGAGUGAGAGGAGAGAGGGUAGAGAUGAGAGGAGAGAGGGUAGAGAUGAAUGAGAGGAGAGAGGGUAGAGAUGAGAGGAGAGAGGGUAGAGAUGAGAGGAGAGAGGGCAGAGAUGAGAGGAGAGAGGGCAGAGAUGAGAGGAGAGAGGUGAGAGGAGAGAGGGUAGAGAUGAGUGAGAGGAGAGAGGGUAGAGAUGAGUGAGAGGAGAAAGAAGAGGGAGACGAGGGAGAAGGGGAGAGAGAAGAGGGAGAAAGGUGAAUGAGAGAAAGUAGACUAGAGGGAGGUGAAGUUGUUGCCUGAGGGCAUAUGUCCAGUCUAGCUCCCUUCUCUCCCUCCUCUCUCUCUCGCCCAGCACAGUCAGUCAGUCAGUUAGACACACAGAGCAAAUAGACUCUCCCAGUCUCCCAGUGGAGUACAGGGGCAUCUCUGUCAGGACAGGACAGAGGCUCUGCUUUAUCCGCUCAGGGCAACAGGAAGGCCAGACUGCACCACCCACUAGGACCCACCUCCCACCACCACACAGGGAUACUAUGGAUCCUAACACACUGGUCAAUGGGAGAUGCUGUCCCAAGGGCAGGAGGAGAGCGAAGAGACAGCCUGGAACAGUGAGGGACUGUUGUAUCUGAGUGACUGGAUGUCUUGAGCUAGGAGGCUCUGCAAAAUAGUUUUUUGUUUAGACAGGUCUGUGUGAAUAGUUGUUUUUCAGGCAGGUCUGUGUGAAUAGUUGUUUUUCAGGCAGGUCUGUGUGAAUAGUUGUUUUUCAGGCAGGUCUGUGUGUGAAUAGUUGUUUUUCAAGCAGGUCUGUGUGAAUAGUUGUUUUUCAGGCAGGUCUGUGUGUGAAUAGUUGUUUUUCAAGCAGGUCUGUGUGCACACCUGUGCAUCUGUUUAUAUGUUUUUGUGUGUGUGUGUGAGUGUGAGUGUGUGCAUACAUGGAUUCGUACAUCUGUAUGCAUGUGUGUGUGUGUGUGUGUGUGUGUGUGUGUGUGUGUGUGUGUGUGUAGGCCCCUGUGUGUCUGUACGUAUAUGUCUGUCUCUCUUUGUGUGUGUGUCAUAUUAGGUGAGAAUUAGCACACAAGUAGGGACCACCCUCAUGACUUUUGAAAGAGUCGUAUGUUCUGAACUCCAGGUUAUCUUUACAGUACAGGAG
rnacentral:lncRNA from 1 species